rnacentral:rRNA from 1 species
GAUGAACGCUGGCGGCGUGCCUAAUACAUGCAAGUCGAGCGAACAGACGAGGAGCUUGCUCCUCUGACGUUAGCGGCGGACGGGUGAGUAACACGUGGAUAACCUACCUAUAAGACUGGGAUAACUUCGGGAAACCGGAGCUAAUACCGGAUAAUAUAUUGAACCGCAUGGUUCAAUAGUGAAAGACGGUUUUGCUGUCACUUAUAGAUGGAUCCGCGCCGCAUUAGCUAGUUGGUAAGGUAACGGCUUACCAAGGCAACGAUGCGUAGCCGACCUGAGAGGGUGAUCGGCCACACUGGAACUGAGACACGGUCCAGACUCCUACGGGAGGCAGCAGUAGGGAAUCUUCCGCAAUGGGCGAAAGCCUGACGGUGCAACGCCGCGUGAGUGAUGAAGGUCUUCGGAUCGUAAAACUCUGUUAUUAGGGGAGAACAAAUGUGUAAGUAACUAUGCACGUCUUGACGGUACCUAAUCAGAAAGCCACGGCUAACUACGUG